GGCCCGGUGGUGUAUGGUACAUGCCUGCUGCUGCUAGGGCCAAAGAGGUUCCAGCGGGAGUCGCUCGUUUGAUUCAGGCCCGGGUCA